rnacentral:rRNA from 1 species
GGUCAGUAGGUUGGUCGUGCCACCGGUACGUACUGGUCUCACUGAUUCCUCCUUCCUGAAGAACCGUAAUGCCAUUAAUUUGGUGUUGCGGGGAAACAGGACUGUCACUUUGAAAAAAUUAGAGUGUUUAAAGCAAGCUAACGCUUGAAUACAUUAGCAUGGAAUAAUGAAAUAGGACGAUCGAUCCUAUUUUGUUGGUUUCUAGGAUUGACGUA